rnacentral:rRNA from 1 species
UACGGAGGGUGCAAGCGUUAAUCGGAAUUACUGGGCGUAAAGCGUGCGCAGACGGUUUGUUAAGUCUGUUGUGAAAUCCCCGAGCUCAACUUGGGAAUUGCAAUGGAUACUGGCAGGCUGGAGUAUGGUAGAGGAAGGUGGAAUUCCCGGUGUAGCAGUGAAAUGCGUAGAGAUCGGGAGGAACACCAGUGGCGAAGGCGGCCUUCUGGACCAAUACUGACGCUCAUGCACGAAAGCGUGGGGAGCAAACAGG